rnacentral:rRNA from 1 species
CACGUAGGGACCAAGCGUUGUCCGGAUUCAUUGGGCGUAAAGAGCUCGUAGGCGGUUCGAUAAGUCGGGUGUGAAACCUCCAGGCUCAACCUGGAGACGCCACCCGAUACUGUCGUGACUAGAGUCCAGUAGGGGAGCGUGGAAUUCCUGGUGUAGCGGUGAAAUGCGCAGAUAUCAGGAGGAACACCAGCGGCGAAGGCGGCGCUCUGGGCUGGAACUGACGCUGAGGAGCGAAAGCGUGGGGAGCGAUCCGG